AUUGAACGCUGGCGGCGAGGCCUAACACAUGCAAGUCGAGCGGCAGCACGGGUACUUGUACCUGGUGGCGAGCGGCGGACGGGUGAGUAAUGCCUAGGAAUCUGCCUAGUAGUGGGGGAUAACGUUCGGAAACGGACGCUAAUACCGCAUACGUCCUACGGGAGAAAGUGGGGGAUCUUCGGACCUCACGCUAUUAGAUGAGCCUAGGUCGGAUUAGCUAGUUGGUAGGGUAAAGGCCACCAAGGCUACGAUCCGUAACUGGUCUGAGAGGAUGAUCAGUCACACUGGAACUGAGACACGGUCCANACUCCUACGGGAGGCAGCAGUGGGGAAUAUUGGACAAUGGGCGAAA
rnacentral:rRNA from 1 species